rnacentral:lncRNA from 1 species
GGGAGAACUAUGGUUUCAGACGUCCUCCAGCGGCCUUGUCCUCACCACAGAGCCUCCUCUACAACACUAUAAAGAUCACACUGUUCUCCCUAUCUUAUCAUAGAGACCUCCACUCAGCCAACCAUUCAGCUCCCCCUUCCUUGCUUUACAUAAAGAUCACACUGUUCUCCUAUCUUAUCAUAGAGACCCCCACUCAGCCAACCAUUCAGCUCCCCCUUCCUUCCUUUACAUAAAGAUCACACUGUUCUCCUAUCUUAUCAUAGAGACCCCCACUCAGCCAACCAUUCAGCUCCCCCUUCCUUCCUUUACAUAAAGAUCACACUGUUCUCCUAUCUUAUCAUAGAGACCUCCACUCAGCCAACCAUUCAGCUUCCCCUUCCUUCCUUUACAUAAAGAUCACAUCACCAUCCAAAACCAGGUAUUCCAGUUUCACUCAAAUGGCAAACUAAUUAAACAAUCAAUCAAUUAUAAUGAAAUGACAUCAUCCUAUUCUCUAGCGUAGGACACAAUGCAGUGUGAUGUGGAAGGAGAGGUCAGGGAUGUAUGCCUGGUUGACAAGUGACCCCAGGGGAAUGUCUCUUUAUAUGAAAUGUGACUCAGUGUGUUCACUGUACAGCCCUUCCUCUCUGUGUGUUUUUGUUGAACUGUCCUUGUGGGUACUAGGCAUCAUCAUAAGGAUAGUAAAACAAGGAAAAUGUGGCCAAGUGGGGACAUUUUGAAGAUCCACAUGAGAAAAAAUGCUAUUUUAGGCUCAGGGGUUCCAUUUAGGGUUAGAAAUAAGGUUAGGAGUUACGAUUAGGUUUAGGAGUUACGAUUAUGUUUAGGAGUUCCGAUUAGGUUUAGGAGUUACGAUUAGGUUUAGGUAUAGGAGUUAUGGUUAGGUUUAGGUUUAGAUUUAGGAGUUAGGGUUAGGUUUAGGAGUUACGAUUUGGUUUA